CGGCGAGUGAAGCGGCAACAGCUCAAAUUUGAAAGCUGGCCCUUUUAGGGUCCGCGUUGUAAUUUGUAGAGGAUGAUUCGGCGAGGGCUCCCGCCUAAGUCCCCUGGAACGGGGCGUCAUAGAGGGUGAGAAUCCCGUAUGCGGUGGGCUGCCUUAGCCAUGUGAAUCUCCUUCGACGAGUCGAGUUGUUUGGGAAUGCAGCUCUAAAUGGGAGGUAAAUUUCUUCUAAAGCUAAAUACCGGCCAGAGACCGAUAGCGCACAAGUAGAGUGAUCGAAAGAUGAAAAGCACUUUGGAAAGAGAGUUAAAAAGUACGUGAAAUUGUUGAAAGGGAAGCGCUUGCAACCAGACUUGUCCGCAGUUGCUCAGCCGGUCUCCUGACCGGCGUACUCUUCUGCGGCCAGGCCAGCAUCAGUUCGGGCGGUCGGAUAAAGGCCUCGGGAAUGUAGCUCCUCUCGGGGAGUGUUAUAGCCCGGGGUGGAAUGCGGCCAGCCUGGACUGAGGAUCUCGCUUCGGCAAGGAUGCUGGCGUAAUGGUUGUAAGCGGCCCGUCUUGAAACACGGACCAAGGAGUCUAACAUCUAUGCGAGUGUUUGGGUGUCAAACCCAUACGCGUAAUGAAAGUGAACGGAGGUGGGAACCCGCAAGGGUGCACCAUCGGCCGAUCCUGAUGUCUUCGGAUGGAUUUGAGCAAGAGCAUAGCUGUUGGGACCCGAAAGAUGGUGAACUAUGCCUGAAUAGGGUGAAGCCAGAGGAAACUCUGGUGGAGGCUCGCAGCGGUUCUGACGUGCAAAUCGAUCGUCAAAUUUGGGUAUAGGGGCGAAAGACUAAUCGAACCAUC
rnacentral:rRNA from 1 species